rnacentral:rRNA from 1 species
UACGUAGGGGGGCAAGCGUUGUCCGGAAUCAUUGGGCGUAAAGCGCGUGUAGGCGGCCCGGUAAGUCCGCUGUGAAAGUCGGGGGCUCAACCCUCGGAUGCCGGUGGAUACUGUCGGGCUCGAGUACGGAAGAGGCGAGUGGAAUUCCUGGUGUAGCGGUGAAAUGCGCAGAUAUCAGGAGGAACACCGGUGGCGAAGGCGGGUCUCUGGGCCGUAACUGACACUGAGACGCGAAAGCGUGGGGAGCAAACAGG